GACAUUUUGGAUAGCUCGGUAAGUGGUUAGAGCUUCCGCCAUGGAUGCAGAAGGGCGCGGGUUCAAGCCAUGCCAAAGUCA